UUGGGUGGUAAUGCCGGAUGUGCCGGGCUCCUGCAUGGGGGUCCGGGAAAGCUCUGGCGGCGUGGGAUGGGGUCGCGUCCUAUCAGCUUGUUGGCGGGGUGAGGGCCCACCAAGGCUUCGACGGGUAGCCGGCCUGAGAGGGCGACCGGCCACAUUGGGACUGAGAUACGGCCCAGACUCCUACGGGAGGCAGCAGUGGGGAAUAUUGCACAAUGGGCGCAAGCCUGAUGCAGCGACGCCGCGUGCGGGAUGGAGGCCUUCGGGUUGUAAACCGCUUUUGUUUGGGAGCAAGCCCUUCGGGGUGAGUGUACCUUUCGAAUAAGCACCGGCUAACUACGUGCCAGCAGCCGCGGUAAUA
rnacentral:rRNA from 1 species